rnacentral:rRNA from 1 species
GACGAACCGUGCGAACGUUGCUCGGAAUCACUGGGCUUAAAGGGCGCGUAGGCGGCCGGGUUGGUCGUGGGUGAAAUCCCCCAGCUUAACUGGGGAACUGCCUACGAUACUGCCUGGCUCGAGGGAGGAAGGGGCGGUCGGAACUGUCGGUGGAGCGGUGAAAUGCGUUGAUAUCGACAGGAACGCCGGUGGCGAAAGCGGACCGCUGGCCCUCUUCUGACGCUGAUGCGCGAAAGCCAGGGGAGCGAACGGG